AAACUUAAAGGAAUUGACGGGGAGCACCACAACGGGUGGAGCUUGCGGUUUAAUUGGAUUCAACGCCGGAAAUCUUACCGGGACCGACAGCAAUAUGAAGGCCAGGCUGAAGACUUUGCCGGAUUAGCUGAGAGGUGGUGCAUGGCCGUCGUCAGUUCGUACUGUGAAGCAUCCUGUUAAGUCAGGCAACGAGCGAGACCCACGCCCACAGUUGCCAGCGUACUCUCCGGAGUGACGGGUACACUGUGGGGACCGCCGCUGCUAAAGCGGAGGAAGGAAUGGGCAACGGUAGGUCAGUAUGCCCCGAAUAUCCCGGGCUACACGCGAGCUACAAUGGUUGGUACAAUGGGUAUCUACCCCGAAAGGGGAUGGGAAUCUCCUAAAACCAAUCUUAGUUCGGAUUGAGGGCUGCAACUCGCCCUCAUGAAGCUGGAAUCCGUAGUAAUCGCGUUUCAACAGAACGCGGUGAAUACGUCCCUGCUCCUU
rnacentral:rRNA from 1 species